UACGGAGGGUGCAAGCGUUAUCCGGAUUCACUGGGUUUAAAGGGUGCGUAGGUGGGUUGGUAAGUCAGUGGUGAAAUCUCCGAGCUUAACUCGGAAACUGCCAUGGAUACUAUGUGUCUUGAAUGUUGUGGAGGUGAGCGGAAUAUGUCAUGUAGCGGUGAAAUGCUUAGAUAUGACAUAGAACACCAAUUGCGAAGGCAGCUCACUACACAAAUAUUGACGCUGAGGCACGAAAGCGUGGGGAUCAAACAGG
rnacentral:rRNA from 1 species